rnacentral:rRNA from 1 species
AUGAUUCAGGCCAAUAUUGUGGCUGGUUCUCGUAUUUUGGUUCAAGGAAUUUUUCAAUCUACAACGGCUGCUAGCCAGGUAAUUAGUUUCCGUGACCUGCCAUACCUCAUAUCUUCAUGUUUUCAUAUUGUGCUAACUGGUCAAGAACCUAAUUACGAGGUUUUGCAAUUGUUAUCCCCCUGGAUUAUUUCUCCAUUUCCAUCAGUUCACCCGGUAUACAAGGUAAAAUUUGGGAUCCGUGUACAAGGUUGA